AUUCUGCUCUUUGCUACCGUGGAUAUUUGAACCAUCCAUUGUAUUUACUAAUAUUUUCAUCAUGGACAACAUGCAAAGUGUAGGUAGCUACAGCUUUCAAUACCAGUGUUGCUGGUAUUAUCAAAGCUGUUUUCAGUGGCUAAAGCAGUUUGGGGUGGUUGGAAGCCGAGUGCGAAGAAUUAUUUUGAAAGGUGUUUCAGUCUGCCUUCUGUGAGUCAUCAUAAUCCAUACAACGCAUAAACCUGCUCUCUGUCACCAGUACAAGGAGAUGAUCGAGGGUGAACAAGCAACACUUCAGCUUUAAUUGUCUGAAGCCUGGUGUUGUUGUGGCCAAGGAGCUUUCAUUAAUAUGGAACCAGGUUUCAGCUGCUGUGCAAUGUUGACGUCCUUCUUCCCAGAGAGGUGAAAACAUCCCCCGGACUGGACACAACCUAGCAAACAUAUAUAUUUUUUUCAGAAGAUCAGGACUUUUGCAAUGAAAAGGCCAUGGAUGUUACAUGUCCUGGUCCAAAGGUCAGGACAGAAAUAUGCUCUCAAGCUAGAUUAAUUUAUUCAUAUCAUAACCUGAACCAAAGUUACUCAAAGGAUCUGAUGACAUAGGCCUCGGUCUAGAGAGUGUUUUUACCUUCAUGUGUUUUAAGUGUUUCCUACUAGCAUUUGAAGUUAAUAAAGUAUUUUAUUGUUAAAA